CUGGGAUUAGAUACCCCACUAUGCUUAGCCCUAAACUUCAAUAUAUAUAGUACAAAACAAAUAUAUUUGCCUGAGAACUACUGGCCACAGCUUAAAACUCAAAGGACUUGGCGGUACUUUAUAUCCAUCUAGAGGAGCCUGUUCUAUAAUCGAUAAACCCCGUUAUACCUCACCACCCCUUGCUAAUUCAGCCUAUAUACCGCCAUCUUCAGCAAACCCUAAAAAGGAGUAAAAGUAAGCAAGAGAAUUACCAUAAAAACGUUAGGUCAAGGUGUAGCCAAUGAGGUGGGAAGCAAUGGGCUACAUUUUCUUACAAAGAACAUUACGCUACCCUUUAUGAAACUAAAGGACAAAGGAGGAUUUAGUAGUAAAUUAAGAAUAGAGAGCUUAAUUGAAUAGAGCAAUGAAGUACGUACACACCGCCCGUCACCCUCCUCAAACUAAAUAAACGAAAUAUAUACAUAAUUACAUCAACAAUUUACGAGAGGAGAUAAGUCGUAACAAGGUAAGCAUACUGGAAAGUGUGCUUGGAAUAAC
rnacentral:rRNA from 1 species